UUGAACGCUGGCGGCAUGCCUUACACAUGCAAGUCGAACGGUAACGGGCCUUCGGGUGCCGACGAGUGGCGAACGGGUGAGUAAUAUAUCGGAACGUACCAUUCAGUGGGGGAUAACGUAGCGAAAGUUACGCUAAUACCGCAUAUUCUGUGCGCAGGAAAGCAGGGGAUCGCAAGACCUUGCGCUGAUUGAGCGGCCGAUAUCAGAUUAGCUAGUUGGUGAGGUAAAAGCUCACCAAGGCGACGAUCUGUAGCGGGUCUGAGAGGAUGAUCCGCCACACUGGAACUGAGACACGGUCCAGACUCCUACGGGAGGCAGCAGUGGGGAAUUUUGGACAAUGGGGGCAACCCUGAUCCAGCCAUGCCGCGUGAGUGAAGAAGGCCUUCGGGUUGUAAAGCUCUUUCAGCCGGGAAGAAAACGCAUGGGUUAAUACCCUGUGUGGAUGACGGUACCGGAAUAAGAAGCACCGGCUAACUACGU
rnacentral:rRNA from 1 species